rnacentral:rRNA from 1 species
GACGAACGCUGGCGGCGUGCCUAAUACAUGCAAGUAGAACGCUGAAGGAGGAGCUUGCUUCUCUGGAUGAGUUGCGAACGGGUGAGUAACGCGUAGGUAACCUGCCUGGUAGCGGGGGAUAACUAUUGGAAACGAUAGCUAAUACCGCAUAAUAGCAGUUAUUCGCAUGAUAACUGUUUGAAAGGUGCAAUUGCAUCACUACCAGAUGGACCUGCGUUGUAUUAGCUAGUUGGUGGGGUAACGGCUCACCAAGGCGACGAUACAUAGCCGACCUGAGAGGGUGAUCGGCCACACUGGGACUGAGACACGGCCCAGACUCCUACGGGAGGCAGCAGUAGGGAAUCUUCGGCAAUGGACGGAAGUCUGACCGAGCAACGCCGCGUGAGUGAAGAAGGUUUUCGGAUCGUAAAGCUCUGUUGUAAGAGAAGAACGAGUGUGAGAGUGGAAAGUUCACACUGGACG